rnacentral:rRNA from 1 species
UACGGAGGGUGCUAGCGUUGUUCGGAAUUACUGGGCGUAAAGGGUUCGUAGGUGGCUCGCUAAGUCAGACGUGAAAUCCCUCAGCUUAACUGGGGAACUGCGUCUGAGACUGGCAAGCUUGAGUGCAGGAGAGGAACGCGGAAUUCCAGGUGUAGCGGUGAAAUGCGUAGAUAUCUGGAGGAACACCGGUGGCGAAGGCGGCGUUCUGGACUGUAACUGACACUGAAGAACGAAAGCCAGGGGAGCAAACGGG